GGCGAAAGCAGGGAGUUGAGGAAUCAGCGAACAGUGAUCUUUGGUAUUGUUUUUUUUUUUUUUUUCUGUGUACUAGACGCGACGAGGCACGCACUUUGUCCCGGAUGAUAAAUGAAGGCCUGCGUUUUCCAUCCACACCAUACACACCAUUGGCCCCCGCUGGUAGUCCUUCAGGCCCUAAAAGGAAGGACGGAGAAAAUAAAAAAAAAUAAAAAGGAAGAGGAAAAAGAAAAAAGAAAAAGGUAAG